UGAAGUUUGCUUCUAAUCGUCUUCGGACAAUUACUUUGACUCUGGCCUCAAAUCAGGUAGGACUACCCGCUGAACUUAAGCAUAUCAAUAAGCGGAGGAAAAGAAACUAACAAGGAUUCCCCUAGUAACGGCGAGUGAACCGGGAAGAGCUCAAAUUUGAAAUCUGGCAGUCUUCGAUUGUCCGAGUUGUAAUCUAUAGAAGCGUUUUCCGUGCUGAACUGUGUAUAAGUCCCUUGGAACAGGGUAUCAAAGAGGGUGACAAUCCCGUACUUUACACAAUCAUCAGUGCUCUGUGAUACGUUCUCUACGAGUCGAGUUGUUUGGGAAUGCAGCUCAAAAUGGGUGGUAAAUUCCAUCUAAAGCUAAAUAUUGGCGAGAGACCGAUAGCGAACAAGUACCGUGAGGGAAAGAUGAAAAGCACUUUGGAAAGAGAGUUAAACAGUACGUGAAAUUGUUGAAAGGGAAACGAAAUUCAUGAAUCAUGUUUAUUGGACUCAGCCGUUCUUCGGUGUACUUCCUUUAAACGGGUCAACAUCAGUUUUGUCCGAUGGAUAAAGGUAGUAGGAAGGUGGCUCUCUCGGGAGUGUUAUAGCCUAUUGCUGCAUACAUUGGAUGAGACUGAGGACUGCAGCUUGCCUUUAUGGCCGGGGUCGCCCACGUC
rnacentral:rRNA from 1 species